UUACCUACCUGGCACGGGAGACACCAUGACUGCAAAGGUGGUUGUCCCAGAGCGAGGCUCAUCCGUGGCACUCGGCAUGUGCCGACCCCGGCAGUUUCCCCAAAUGCGGGGAACUCAGUGCAGAGUCUGUGGCAGUGGGGAUCUGCGCUUGUGCUCUCGCCUG